GAUGAACGCUGGCGGCGUGCCUAACACAUGCAAGUCGAACGGAGCUGCUUUGAUGAAGUUUUCGGAUGGAUUUAAAACAGCUUAGUGGCGGACGGGUGAGUAACGCGUGGGUAACCUGCCUCACACUGGGGGAUAACAGUUAGAAAUAGCUGCUAAUACCGCAUAAGUGCACGGUUCCGCAUGGAACAGUGUGAAAAACUCCGGUGGUGUGAGAUGGACCCGCGUCUGAUUAGCCAGUUGGCGGGGUAACGGCCCACCAAAGCGACGAUCAGUAGCCGGCCUGAGAGGGUGAACGGCCACAUUGGGACUGAGACACGGCCCAAACUCCUACGGGAGGCAGCAGUGGGGAAUAUUGCACAAUGGGGGAAACCCUGAUGCAGCGACGCCGCGUGAGUGAAGAAGUAUUUCGGUAUGUAAAGCUCUAUCAGCAGGGAAGAAA
rnacentral:rRNA from 1 species